GGCAGCAGUAGGGAAUCUUCGGCAAUGGGCGAAAGCCUGACCGAGCAACGCCGCGUGAAUGAUGAAGGCCUUCGGGUUGUAAAAUUCUGUUAUAAGGGAAGAACGACUUUAGUAGGAAAUGGCUAGAGUGUGACGGUACCUUAUGAGAAAGCCACGGCUAACUACGUGCCAGCAGCCGCGGUAAUACGUAGGUGGCGAGCGUUAUCCGGAAUUAUUGGGCGUAAAGAGCGCGCAGGUGGUUGAUUAAGUCUGAUGUGAAAGCCCACGGCUUAACCGUGGAGGGUCAUUGGAAACUGGUCGACUUGAGUGCAGAAGAGGGAAGUGGAAUUCCAUGUGUAGCGGUGAAAUGCGUAGAGAUAUGGAGGAACACCAGUGGCGAAGGCGGCUUCCUGGUCUGUAACUGACACUGAGGCGCGAAAGCGUGGGGAGCAAACAGGAUUAGAUACCCUGGUAGUCCACGACGUAAACGAUGAGUGCUAAGUGU
rnacentral:rRNA from 1 species